ACGUAGGGGGCAAGCGUUAUCCGGAAUUAUUGGGCGUAAAGAGUGCGUAGGUGGCUUUUCAAGCGAGAGGUGAAAGCCCCUAGCUUAACUCUUGUACGCCUUGUGAACCGGCAGACUUGAGUGCAGGAGAGGAAAGUGGAAUUCCUAGUGUAGCGGUGAAAUGCGUAGAUAUUAGGAGGAACACCAGUGGCGAAGGCGACUUUCUGGACUGUUACUGACACUGAGGCACGAAAGCGUGGGGAGCAAACAG
rnacentral:rRNA from 1 species